AUGGUGGAAGGAAGGAAACAAAUUAAUGCAUUAGGCUGUAGAGAUGUAGUUGUGGCGGAAGGACGCCAAGGCCUUGCCGGCCCCGCCCCUGAUGAUGUACUGGUGGUACACCAUGGCCACGGCGGCCCCGAUGAAGGGCCCCACCCAGAAGAUCCACUGCUGGUCCCACGCCUUCUUGUUGUUGUACACCACGGCGGGGCCGAGGCUCCUGGCCGGGUUGAUGCCGGUGCCGGUGAUGGGGAUGGUGGCGAGGUGCACGAUGAGCACGGCGAACCCGAUGGGCAGCGGCGCCAGCACGGGCACGUGGGAGUCCCGCGCCUUGCGCUUCGGGUCGGUGGCGGCGAAGACGGUGUAAACGAGCACGAAGGUGCCGAUGAUCUCGGCGGCGAGCCCGGCGCCCUUGGAGUAUCCCGGCGCGAGCUCGUUGGCGCCGCCGCCGUGGCGCGCGUACUGGGCGCCGUGCACGGCCCUGACGAGGCCGGCGCCGCACAUGGCGCCGAGGCACUGCCCGACCAUGUAGAGCAGCGCGCGGACCAGGGAGACCUUGCGGGCGAGGAGGAGGCCGAAGGUGACGGCCGGGUUGAUGUGGCCGCCGGAGACGCCGGCGGUGCAGUAGACGAGGACGAAGAUCAUGCCGCCGAAGGCCCACGCGAUGCCGAGGAUGCCGGCGCCGCCGCAGCCGACGGUGCCGUCGGUCUGGCGCUUGUGGCCGAUGACUGUGGCCACGGUCACGUAGACGAAGAGGAGCGUGGCGGUGAACUCGGCAAUGACGGCGCGCCAGAGCGACCAUUUGCCCAGCUCGCCGGCGUUGAUGAGCGGCGCCGGGGGAGGGUCACGGUAGUCCUUGGCGGUGUUGUUGUUGUCGUUGUUGCCAUUGGGCACCAUGUCGAUCGAUGGAUCAGGUGGAGAUGGGUAGCUCUAGCUAGCUGA
rnacentral:rRNA from 1 species